rnacentral:rRNA from 1 species
AUUGAACGCUGGCGGAAUGCUUUACACAUGCAAGUCGAGCGGCAGCGCGGGGGCAACCCUGGCGGCGAGCGGCGAACGGGUGAGUAACAUAUCGGAACGUACCCAGUCGUGGGGGAUAACUAUCCGAAAGGAUAGCUAAUACCGCAUACGUCCUGAGGGAGAAAGCGGGGGAUCGCAAGACCUCGCGCGAUUGGAGCGGCCGAUAUCGGAUUAGCUAGUUGGUGGGGUAAAGGCUCACCAAGGCGACGAUCCGUAGCGGGUCUGAGAGGACGACCCGCCACACUGGAACUGAGACACGGUCCAGACUCCUACGGGAGGCAGCAGUGGGGAAUUUUGGACAAUGGGCGCAAGCCUGAUCCAGCAAUGCCGCGUGCAGGAUGAAGGCC